rnacentral:rRNA from 2 species
UCUGGCGGCUUUAGCGCGGUGGUCCCACCUGACCCCAUGCCGAACUCAGAAGUGAAACGCCGUAGCGCCGAUGGUAGUGUGGGGUC